rnacentral:misc_RNA from 1 species
AAAAAAUUAACUGAGGUUUAUCGGGUCCAAACUAUGAACAUCCGAAUUGCCUUUUGCCUUAUCUAAGGCUCGUGCCUUACAUGCCUAAGGCGCACCUUUGGAGUGGCACCUCACCUUAGGCACCACAAGGCGUACCAAGUGUACCUCAUCGCACAUUGCAUGCACUCGGCAUGCCUUUCACAACUAGUAUGGCCUAGAGACA